rnacentral:rRNA from 1 species
AGUGAACGCUGGCGGUAGGCCUAACACAUGCAAGUCGAACGGCAGCACAGUAAGAGCUUGCUCUUACGGGUGGCGAGUGGCGGACGGGUGAGGAAUACAUCGGAAUCUACUUUUUCGUGGGGGAUAACGUAGGGAAACUUACGCUAAUACCGCAUACGACCUACGGGUGAAAGCAGGGGAUCUUCUGACCUUGCGCGAUUGAAUUAGCCGAUGUCGGAUUAGCUAGUUGGCGGGGUAAAGGCCCACCAAGGCGACGAUCCGUAGCUGGUCUGAGAGGAUGAUCAGCCACACUGGAACUGAGACACGGUCCAGACUCCUACGGGAGGCAGCAGUGGGGAAUAUUGGACAAUGGGCGCAAGCCUGAUCCAGCCAUACCGCGUGGGUGAAGAAGGCCUUCGGGUUGUAAAGCCCUUUUGUUGGGAAAGAAAAGCAGCAGGUUAAUACCCCGCUGUUCUGACGGUACCCAAAGAAUAAGCACCGGCUAACUUCGCG